CGCCAGAACUCUGGAAAGCGGAAGCGUCAGCUUCCCACCGACGGGUGUAGCCGGGUCUUGUGGCAAGCAAGCCGCCCGGGAAAUCUCUCAGGUUGACCGACAGAGGGGGCACU
rnacentral:ncRNA from 2 species